GGAGAGAUGGUCGAGUGGUUGAUAGCUCCGAUCUUGAAAAAGGUACAGUUAUUUGCGAACUAUCGAGGGUCUGAAUCCCUCUCUCUUCU
rnacentral:tRNA from 1 species